rnacentral:tRNA from 4 species
GGAGAGGUGGCCGAGUGGUCGAAGGCGCUCCCCUGCUAAGGGAGUAUACCAGAGAUGGUAUCGUGGGUUCGAAUCCCAUCCUCUCCGCCA